ACCUGGACAUGGAGCCAUUGACCACCACCCUCUGUCUGCAGCCUUUCAACCAAUUUCUUACCCAUCAAGCAGUCCACCCAUCAAAUCCACAUCCCUCCAAUUUGGAGAUAAGGAUGUGGUGGGGGACCAUUUCAAAGGCCUUGUUCAAGUCCAGUGACAGUUCUGGAGAUAUCUGUGUUAUUGUCUAAAUCUCAGAAUAGACGGGAGUGAAGCCUUUUUGCCAGGAUUUAGCUGAAAACGCCUAGACAACCAGUAAUUCUACUUUCUGUGUCCUGGUCCCUGUAAUUGUGAAAUGACAUGCACUGAGCUAUUCAAAAGACAAGAUCUACAGUGGGGAUUGAAGGAAACAAUACUGCAGAUAUGAUACCUUCUACAACAGUUCUGUAGAUAUGA